GACGAACGCUGGCGGCGUGCUUAACACAUGCAAGUCGAACGGAAAGGCCCUGCUUUUGUGGGGUGCUCGAGUGGCGAACGGGUGAGUAACACGUGAGUAACCUGCCCUUGACUUUGGGAUAACUUCAGGAAACUGGGGCUAAUACCGGAUAGGAGCUCCUGCUGCAUGGUGGGGGCUGGAAAGUUUCGGCGGUUGGGGAUGGACUCGCGGCUUAUCAGCUUGUUGGUGGGGUAGUGGCUUACCAAGGCUUUGACGGGUAGCCGGCCUGAGAGGGGGACCGGCCACGUUGGGACUGGGAUACGGCACAGACUCGUACGGGAGGCAGCAGUGGGGAAUAUUGCACAAUGGGCGGAGGCCUGAUGCAGCAACGCCGCGUGCGGGAUGACGGCCUUCGGGUUGUAAUCCGAUGUCGCCUGUGACGAAGCGUGAGUGACGGUAAUGGGUAAAGAAGCACCGGCUAACUACGUG
rnacentral:rRNA from 1 species